GACGAACGCUGGCGGCGUGCCUAAUACAUGCAAGUCGAGCGAGCGGCGGACGGGUGAGUAAUGGCUGGGAAACUGCCUGAUGGAGGGGGAUAACUACUGGAAACGGUAGCUAAUACCGCAUACCAUCAGAUGUGCCCAGAUGGGAUUAGCUAGUCGGUGGGGUAACGGCUCACCUAGGCGACGGCCCCUAGAUGGUCUGAGAGGAUGACCAGCCACACUGGAACUGAGACACGGUCCAGAUUCCUACGGGAGGCAGCAGUGGGGAAUAUUGCACAAUGGGCGCAAGCCGGAUGCAGCCAUGCCGCGUGUGGGAAGAAGGCCUUCGGGUUGUAAAGCACUUUCAGCGGGGAGGCGUUACCCGCACAAGAAGCACCGGCUAACUCCGUGCCAGCAGCCGCGGUAAUUC
rnacentral:rRNA from 1 species